ACCGCACUGGCCCAACUUGGUAGAGGCGCCUGGUUCAGGUCCAGGAGGUUGGGGGUUCGAGUCCCUCGUGCGGUA
rnacentral:tRNA from 1 species